rnacentral:rRNA from 1 species
CAUGCAAGUCGAGGGGUAACAGAGAAAAGCUUGCUUUUCUGCUGACGACCGGCGCACGGGUGCGUAACGCGUAUACAAUCUGCCUUAUACAGAGGGAUAGCCUUUAGAAAUGAAGAUUAAUACCUUAUAGUCUAUAUAUAUAGCAUUAUAUAAAUAGUAAAGCUUCGGUGGUAUAAGAUGAGUAUGCGUCCUAUUAGUUAGUUGGUGAGGUAACGGCUUACCAAGACAACGAUAGGUAGGGGCCCUGAGAGGGGGAUCCCCCACACUGGUACUGAGACACGGACCAGACUCCUACGGGAGGCAGCAGUGAGGAAUAUUGGACAAUGGAGGCAACUCUGAUCCAGCCAUGCCGCGUGCAGGAAGACGGCCCUAUGGGUUGUAAACUGCUUUUAUAUAGGAAGAAACCUUUUCACGUGUGAGAAGCUGACGGUACUAUAAGAAUAAGGACCGGCUAACUCCGUGCCAGCAGCCGCGGUAAUACGGAGGGUCCGAGCGUUAUCCGGAAUCAUUGGGUUUAAAGGGUCCGUAGGCGGGAAUCUAAGUCAGUGGUGAAAUCUUGCAGCUCAACUGUAAAAUUGCCAUUGAUACUGGAUUUCUUGAAUUAGUGUGAAGUGGUUAGAAUGUGUAGUGUAGCGGUGAAAUGCAUAGAUAUUACACAGAAUACCAAUUGCGAAGGCAGAUCACUAACACUAUAUUGACGCUGAGGGACGAAAGCGUGGGGAGCGAACAGGAUUAGAUACCCUGGUAGUCCACGCCGUAAACGAUGGAUACUAGCUGUUCGGUCUUCGGACUGAGUGGCUAAGCGAAAGUGAUAAGUAUCCCACCUGGGGAGUACGUUCGCAAGAAUGAAACUC